GGGGGGGGCAAGCGUUGUUCGGAAUUACUGGGCGUAAAGGGCUCGUAGGCGGCCAACUAAGUCAGACGUGAAAUCCCUCGGCUUAACCGGGGAACUGCGUCUGAUACUGGAUGGCUUGAGGUUGGGAGAGGGAUGCGGAAUUCCAGGUGUAGCGGUGAAAUGCGUAGAUAUCUGGAGGAACACCGGUGGCGAAGGCGGCAUCCUGGACCAAUUCUGACGCUGAGUGAGCGAAAGCCAGGGGAGCAAACGGGAUUAGAUACCCCGGUAGUCCUGGCCCUAAACGAUGAAUGCUUGGUGUGGCGGGUAUCGAUCCCUGCCGUGCCGAAGCUAACGCAUUAAGCAUUCCGCCUGGGGAGUACGGUCGCAAGGCUG
rnacentral:rRNA from 1 species